rnacentral:rRNA from 1 species
GAUGAACGCUGGCGGCGUGCCUAAUACAUGCAAGUCGAGCGAACGGACGAGAAGCUUGCUUCUCUGAUGUUAACGGCGGACGGGUGAGUAACACGUGGAUAACCUACCUAUAAGACUGGGAUAACUUCGGGAAACCGGAGCUAAUACCGGAUAAUAUUUUGAACCGCAUGGUUCAAAAGUGAAAGACGGUCUUGCUGUCACUUAUAGAUGGAUCCGCGCUGCAUUAGCUAGUUGGUAAGGUAACGGCUUACCAAGGCAACGAUGCAUAGCCGACCUGAGAGGGUGAUCGGCCACACUGGAACUGAGACACGGUCCAGACUCCUACGGGAGGCAGCAGUAGGGAAUCUUCCGCAAUGGGCGAAAGCCUGACGGAGCAACGCCGCGUGAGUGAUGAAGGUCUUCGGAUCGUAAAACUCUGUUAUUAGGGAAGAACAUAUGUGUAAGUAACUGUGCACGUCUUGACGGUACCUAAUCAGAAAGCCACGGCCAACUACGUG